rnacentral:lncRNA from 1 species
AGCUGAUCCCUUGGCAUAUGGAGAUUCCCAGGCUAGGGGUCCAAUUGGAGCUGUAGCCACCAGCCUACACCAGAGCCACAGCAACACGGGAUCCAAGCCGUGUCUGCGACCCACACCACAGCUCACGGCAACGCAAGAUCCUUAACCCACUGAGCAAGGCCAGGGAUUGAACCCGCACCUCAUGGUUCCUAGUUGGAUUCGUUAACCACUGUGCCACGACGGGAACUCCAAGAUUUUACAUUUUCUUAUAAAAUGUAAAUCGAUUCAAAAAUUUACCUAAGCACCUAGUAUGUGGCACAACUAAGCUAGAUAUUUUUGUUCACUAUCAUCUUAAAAUACAGAUCUUGACAAUGUAGAAGCUUCUCCUUCGUGAAUAUGCCUCUUUAGGUAAAAUUCAAAUCUUUUUUAGUCACUGAUGGUAUAAAAAAAUGUAGCACUAUGUGAAAAAUAUUAGGGAUUUGGAUUUAAAAGUUCCUUUUAAUAAGACAAACCUAGUUAGCCACAGAUUGUGAAACAAAAUUUGUAACAUGAAGGCCAUUUAAGGCAGAUUUAAACAUAAUUCCUACCUAGAAACAGAAUAUUAGUUUGCAUAAUGCCAUUUAUCUUCCAAGCUAAAUUAUAUUAUAAUUUUCAGCUAUAAACUUAGAUUCUUAAUGUGUGUCACAAAGAUGAUAUCUCUGACCCACCCACGGUAGGAAGUGUGUUUUGAGUUGUUUUGUCAGUAGUGACAGUGGAGUCGUACUGGACAAAAUUUGUUUUUGACAAGUUUCCUUGGUAAUGAAAAUAACUGUAAUAGUAAUAAUAACAAUAGUAAUCAACAUCAAAAUAAUGAUAGCACUUACAGACUACUUUACUAAGUGUCAAGAAUUGUGAUUAGCACCUUACAUACAUUGUCUUAUUCAUUUCUCAAAAUACUUCAUGAAGUAUAUACUGUUCACAAUCCAAUUUAACAAAGGACACUGAGACACAGAAAGGCCAAUAAUUGGCCCAAGAUCACACAGAUAGAGAAGAAGAAGAACCAAUGAAUCUGACUUUCAUGCCUUCACUAGGUGAUAGCAGGUGCUGUGAUGUUUGUUCAGGAGAACACUCAUAUGUGCUUUCUAUCUACAUCAGCUACAAUUGGGGCCCAGCUGGUCCUGGAAGUCCAAAUCUGAGGACUGCUGACAGAAGUUAAGGUUUGAGUUGCUUCUAUUCAUAUUGCCUGCUAAUUAAAAUGUUCCCUUCCGAGAAGGCAGUGGCUUACGGGCAUAACCCUAAAACAUAAUACAUGCUUCGAAAAAGUAUAUUAUGAAUGUUAACAAUGGUUUCUCAAGUGCUAAGUUAACUGGUGACUUCCACCCCUUCCUUUUGGCUUAAAAAAUAGAUUGUCCCAUUGUCUAAAAUAUUUUCACCAUGGGCACACAUUACUUAGGUGAUCAGGUAAAAAAUGAGAACUUUUCUUAAAAAAAAAUUCUUUUUGCUCUUUGCUACUCCUAGUUUGUUAGUCUCAGUUAAAAUAUGACCGCCUGGGUAUCCUGAGUAUCUAGAAUCCAGUUCAAUAAAAAUCAAAAAACAAAACGCAGAACACACAAACAUACUCACACACUCACCCGAUGAAAAAGGAGAAUCUUGUAUUGAUCUGCUUUGCAUGGUUUGGUCCUUGCAGAUGGUUUGGUUUCCCCUUAUGUUAUAUUUGCAGGUCCCCAUGAAAAAGGGCUUCCCACAAUAAGGAGAGUCCUCAAUUGACUGGUCUAUACCCCAAAGAAACUGAUAAAUGCAUCAAGAAACAUAUAAGAAAUGUAUAUAUAUUUAUACACACACACAUGCACACACAGUUUCAUACAGAUUAUGAAAUAACAUGAAUAUAUUCUGAAGUCAUGGAGAAUGCAGUGGUCAAUGCCUCAUAAAUGAAGUAAAUUAUUUUUAUAUUUAUAUUACUUUAUGUUUUGUAUUUAGUAAUUUUAUUCCCUUUCUUCCCCAAUGCCUUGUUAUAUACACUAAUAUAAAUUUCAUGAAAGUGAAAACUUCACCCAUCACUCUAUUCCCCAAUUUCCAGAAGCACAGCAUUAAAGACAUAGUAAAUGUAUGUUGAAGAGAAAGGAAGGAAAGGAAAAAAGAUAUAGAAGUUCUCACAAUACUUCUCAUAUUGUUCUGGAAAUAAUAAAGGGGGCGGGUGUCUCCAGUACUUUUCCAGGAAAACAUGAAUCAUCAAUGAAAUUGUAAGCUCUCAUCCUGUUCCUCAGACCAGCUACCAAAUUCCUUUAUGUACAAAAUGUCUUUUCUAGUCUGUUAAGACCCAAUUUCUGGCACUGUUGAAACCUGGGAGCAGGGUACUCGGCAGCAUGCAGCUCGAGUCCCUCCAUAUUUUUCCUCUAAUUAGGGAGGCCACUGCCACAGGCUCCAGCAUUUCCUAUAGAUCAGCUGGGGUUCCAGAGGGGCAGUGGAAAAGGACAUGCAAGUCUUGAUAACGUCAGGUGCAUUCACUUACACAUUCCUCUCCUCUUCUCGAAAAGGAUACUGGUAACAAAUCACUGGUUGAUGAUGAGAGCAAUGGAAUUAGAAGUUCCCCUGUGAUACGUCCUAUUCCAAUAUUGGGGGAUACAUUCUCCUGCUGAGGGGAAUAAAGAGAAAUUGGCAAUGGUUUCUUACAUUUUCCAGCUUUCCAACUGUAGCAGAGUCCUAUUAUAUGGAAUUUCUAUCAACAGGAAUAUAGGCAUACUGAUAUAAUACAAUGGAAAUCUUCAGUUUCAUUCAAAAGAAGACUAUGUAGCAAUCCAUACCUAUUCUAGUACAGAGAAGACAAUAGCCUAGUAAUAAUAAAUUAUCCUAUAAUAUGAGUUUUUUUCAGACAGUGGACAGACUUGUUCUUUUUCAUCUCUGUAUCUCUGGUACCCAGACCCAGUAUAUGACUUAGCAUGUAGUAGUUUUCACUAAAUGAUAGCUAAAAAGAUUAAGAGCUUUUUCCUGCAACGGGUUCAAACAAAUGCAGGAUGUUUUUCUAAGCUUGAUCUUUCUAGUUUUGUGAGCAGGCAAUCAUCACGAUUAUUGAACAUCAAUUAAGAUAUUAUUUUAUUUUUUAUUUUUUGGUCUUUCUGUCUUUUUAGGGCUGCACCUGUGGUAUAUGGAGGUUCCCAGGCUAGGGGUCCAAUUGGAGCUGCAGCUGCUGGCCUAUGCCAGGCCACAGCAAUGUGGGUUCCAAGCUGCAUUUGCAACCUACACCACAGCUCAUGGCAGCGCUGGAUCCUUAACCCACUGAGUGAGGACAGGGAUCAAACCUGCAUCUUCAUGGAUGCUAGCAGGGUUCGCUAACUGCUGAGACAUGAUGGGAACUCCAUAUUCUAGAGAUUUUAAAGACGUGAGCUUAAAAGAGCGGUUUUCAAACUUCAGCAUGCAUAACUAAUCUGGGUAGCUUCCUAAAUUGCAGAUCCCCAGAAUCUAUCCUCAGAGCUUCUCAUGUAAAUUCUGGAAUGGAAUCCAGGCAUCUUCAUUUUGAUGAGCACCCAAAGAAAUUCUGAUACAGAUGGUCCUUGGACUACUUACUAUGGAUUGGGCUACAAAGGUAAUGUGAAAAGAAAUCUUUAUGCUUCACCUUUUCAAUAUGGAGAAGACUGGCUUAUUCAAUGUGACUUAACCAUUAAAAUUACCUGUGAAAAUACCAGGCAGUUUGCUAAGACAUCUUAAAAUGAACCAAGGAGGACGCAAGGGCAAGAAACACUAAAUUCAAGCCAGAGACGUUCUUUUUAAAACUUCGCAAAGAUUGAUAGUGUGCUUAAAGUAAAAGGAGAAGAAUGGCAGCAGAGCAGCAGUGUUUCAUUUACAAUGUUGAUUCAAGAGGUUUAUUUGAUAAAAUGUGUUUUAAUGGCUGUUAGAAAAAAUGGAUGCCUUCUAAAUCUUUGAUUUACUGUUAAACUAUAGAUGUAUAUUUAUAUGAAAUAGUUUUCAAAAUUCCCUCAAGUCCUAUUUUCCAUAAGAUCUUGGUCUCGCCAACAUAAUUGCACUAAAGGUAGCUUCCCCCAUCUUCCCUCAAGAAACUUCUCCCCUGGGAUUGAAAGGAGAUUACUAUAGUCUAUUCCUCCACACACGUCCUACAGAAGGAGAGCUGCUGAUUCUGCCCUGACCUCUAGGUCUCUGCAGCCUGUAAAUAUUUUCAGGGAGAGUUGUCGCAGCACUAAGUUCUCUAAAAAUUCAGAGUCUUGUCAUUCUUUAACAACUUUAGCAGUGAAUGAUGGAGAUUUUUUAUUAUUCUUAUGAAUGUUGUAAAUUGUAUAACUUGUCGUAGUUUGCUCUUUGGCUUGGCUGCAUGAAAGUUUAAAGGCAUAUAUAUAUAGCACUUCACAAAAUGUAGAUUGUGUACCAACUUCACUCUUGACUCCAUUUUAUAUACUUGCCCUUGUUUUUUUUGUUUACCUUUCUUAUCUACUUUUAUUCAUGUAUUUCACUGUGUUAUUUGUUUCUUUUUCUCUGUCAGUCAUUUUAAUUUUUUCAGAACUAGGUGGCAGAAAUAAAUGAAAACAAAACAGUGUGUGUGUGUGUGUGUGUGUGUGUGUGUGUGUGUUAUAUAUAUAUCAAACUCACCUAAAAUAUAAAAUAAAAGUUAACCUCCUGAAAUAAUGGAAAUAUUCUGUAGUCUUUGAGAAAAAAACGAUUCCUAUGAUUAUUUGCAGAAAUGCAAUUUAAAGAGGCAUAAAAUUAAAAUACCACUAUGAGAAUAUCCAUAUGAAAUUGAACAUAGGUAUUUUUGGCACCAGAUCAUUAAUUCUGACAUCCUUCAGUUCUGAAAGCCAACUAUAUCAGUGUUAAAAUCUGUGUUUUCAAUCUUUAGACUUACUGUAUUAAAAAGACAAAAAACAAAAAACAACCAAACUCUUAGGCUUAAUCAGCUUAACUUAGUGUUUAAUUCUAAAGACAUUUUUCUUUCAAAAAUUAUAUAUGUUUACACGUAAUAAUACAUAUGUAGAUAUAUUAUUUACUUAUAUGUAUUUUACAUACAUAUAAAUGCACACAUCUUAGAAUCUUCAACCAAACACUUCAGUUCUUUGUCUCCAUUAUUAUUUUCCAUUAAUCAAAUAAUUUUCAUUAAGCAAUAAAGAGUGAUAAGUCAUCUCAACAGUGAAAACUUAUAUUCAAGCUGGAUUUGGUCUAUUUUCUGCAUUUCCUCCGAUAAUGAUGCAGCUAGUCUCAGACUGACUCUAGCAAUAACUCAGGUAAGUUAGAAGGACUCUAAUUGGGCACUAGACAUCUUAACAAUGAUACUCAUCUUAAUUUGUCCUGAUCUAACCACUUUGAGCUGAACUAUUAUUAUGUUUGGGACCCAAAUACGAUUUUUGUUCUUGUAUUAAUUUCUGGAUCUCAUAUCUUUUCAGAUACCAAAGAAAUAUAGUACCAUGCUGGAAUAACGCCUAGUUAUGCUCGUUUUUUGUUUUUUUUUUUUUUUUUUUGCACCGCCCCCCUGCAUCAUGGGCAACCAAUAGCUGAUUCAUACUUCCAUUACAUCACAGCUAGAUUAUAGAAGUGCUCUUUACUCUGACCUCCACAUGUCUGUUGCAACUCAUUUGUAGAUAGUCCAGAAGCUAGCAGCUGGAUUUCAUUUUUGUUUCAGCAGUCACCAUUUUACAAUGUUUCUCCAAUUCACUGUGAGUUUCUAUUGACAAGUCAAUCCAGAACUCCAAAAGGCAUUUAAAUGCAGUGAGUUAAAUCAGAGAGAAAAUAUUACCAUUAACUUGCCAUAGCUUCUUGUUACUUAACUACAUUUUUG